AACAAGCGACAUUGGAAAAGCGCAGCGGACGGAUGCACGAUCCAUCGUAGACAGCGGCUCACGUUGAACUGCGCUCUCGAGGGCUGAAAAGAUGUUACGUCCAAACCACGUACCUCUCGCGUAAGAACGCGAGUCGAGCCGACAAGGUUAAUUCUAGAAAAAGGUUAACGGCCGAAGCCACUCUUACACUUAUUCCGAAUAAAAGUCUGCUCGUUGGCCCUUUUUAUGUAAGGGAAUCGAAUCCCUAUUACAUGGGAUAGGACCUCGUGCGAUUAAUUGAGGGAAGAAAGGAGUAAAUAAAUUAAGCUUGAAUUAACAUAAAAAAUUAAAAAAAUGACUUUAUUCAAACGGUCGAAUGAUGAUUUGAUAACCGUAAAUUAUACUCUUAACUCUCGGAAGUUAUACAUAAUUGAAACGAAAGGUUAUACAAAUAUAACUAUAAAAAUUGAUACUUAGAUUAAUUAUCAGUUAACUGGGACUCUUCGGCGACCGCAGUGUACGUUAAUGAUGGUGAAAGGGUUGAUGGUACAUCAGAAGAAAAAGGUGGAAGAUGUGAAAAGAGUGGAAAUGUGUAAUUAAAAGGGAAGAAAAAAAACAAAGGAAGAGGCAAAAGUAAAACUGACAACCAGUCGGAAAGGCACAAAAAAAACAAAUAAAAAUAAUCAAUUUACA